rnacentral:rRNA from 1 species
UACGUAGGGUGCGAGCGUUAAUCGGAAUUACUGGGCGUAAAGCGUGCGCAGGCGGUUUUGUAAGUCAGAUGUGAAAGCCCGCGGCUCAACCGCGGAUUGUCGUUGGAAACUGCCUCGCUAGAGUCCGGAAGAGGAGAGCGGAAUUCCUGGUGUAGCGGUGGAAUGCGCAGAUAUCAGGAAGAACACCCGUGGCGAAGGCGGCUCUCUGGGACGGUACUGACGCUGAGACGCGAAAGCGUGGGGAGCGAACAGG